AGAGUUUGAUCCUGGCUCAGGACGAACGCUGGCGGCGUGCUUAACACAUGCAAGUCGAGCGGAAAGGCCCUUCGGGGUACUCGAGCGGCGAACGGGUGAGUAACACGUGAGCAAUCUGCCCUUAGCUCUGGGAUAGCUCCGGGAAACCGGGAUUAAUACCAGAUAUGACCACGGCCGACAUCAGCUGUGGUGGAAAGAAC
rnacentral:rRNA from 1 species